GACGAACGCUGGCGGCGUGCUUAACACAUGCAAGUCGAACGGUGAAGGGGUCUGCUUUUGUGGGCCCUGGAUGAGUUGCGAACGGGUGAGUAACACGUGAGUAACCUGCCCCCUUCUUCUGGAUAACCGCAUGAAAGUGUGGCUAAUACGGGAUAUUCUGGGUCUGUCGCAUGAUGGGUCUGGGAAAGAUUGCGCCUUUGGGUGUUUGUGGUGGGGGAUGGGCUCGCGGCCUAUCAGCUUGUUGGUGGGGUGAUGGCCUACCAAGGCGGUGACGGGUAGCCGGCCUGAGAGGGUGGACGGUUACACUGGGACUGAGACACGGCCCAGACUCCUACGGGAGGCAGCAGUGGGGAAUAUUGCACAAUGGGCGCAAGCCUGAUGCAGCGACGCCGCGUGAGGGAUGGAGGCCUUCGGGUUGUAAACCUCUUUCGCCAGUGAAGCAGGCCUGCUCCUUGUGGGUGGGUUGACGGUAGCUGGAUAAGAAGCGCCGGCUAACUACGUG
rnacentral:rRNA from 1 species